rnacentral:rRNA from 1 species
UACGUAGGGGGCUAGCGUUGUCCGGAAUCAUUGGGCGUAAAGCGCGUGUAGGCGGCCCGGUAAGUCCGCUGUAAAAGUCGGGGGCUCAACCCUCGAAAGCCGGUGGAUACUGUCGGGCUAGAGUACGGGAGAGGAAAGUGGAAUUCCUGGUGUAGCGGUGAAAUGCGUAGAUAUCAGGAGGAACACCGGUGGUGUAGACGGCUUUCUGGACCGUAACUGACGCUGAGACACGAAAGCGUGGGUAGCAAACAGG